UUGAACGCUGGCGGAAUGCUUUACACAUGCAAGUCGAGCGGCAGCGCGGGGGCAACCUUGGCGGCGAGCGGCGAACGGGUGAGUAACAUAUCGGAACGUACCCAGACGUGGGGGACAACUAGUCGAAAGACUAGCUAAUACCGCAUACGCCCUGAGGGGGAAAGCAGGGGAUCUUCGGACCUUGUGCGAAUGGAGCGGCCGAUGUCAGAUUAGCUAGUUGGUGGGGUAAAGGCCCACCAAGGCGACGAUCUGUAGCGGGUCUGAGAGGAUGAUCCGCCACACUGGGACUGAGACACGGCCCAGACUCCUACGGGAGGCAGCAGUGGGGAAUUUUGGACAAUGGGCGCAAGCCUGAUCCAGCCAUGCCGCGUGCGGGACGAAGGCCUUCGGGUUGUAAACCGCUUUCAGCCGGAAAGAAAUCGUCAAGGCUAAUAUCCUUGAUGGAUGACGGUACCGGAAGAAGAAGCACCGGCUAACUACGU
rnacentral:rRNA from 1 species